rnacentral:rRNA from 1 species
UCCUGGCUCAGAUUGAACGCUGGCGGCAUGCCUUACACAUGCAAGUCGAACGGUAACAGGGUCUUCGGAUGCUGACGAGUGGCGAACGGGUGAGUAAUACAUCGGAACGUACCUUAUCGUGGGGGAUAACGCAGCGAAAGCUGCGCUAAUACCGCAUACGCCCUGAGGGGGAAAGCGGGGGACCGUAAGGCCUCGCGCGAUUAGAGCGGCCGAUAUCUGAUUAGCUUGUUGGUGGGUAAAAGCCUACCAAGGCGACGAUCAGUAGCUGGUCUGAGAGGACGAUCAGCCACACUGGGACUGAGACACGGCCCAGACUCCUACGGGAGGCAGCAGUGGGGAAUUUUGGACAAUGGGGGCAACCCUGAUCCAGCAAUGCCGCGUGAGUGAAGAAGGCCUUCGGGUUGUAAAGCUCUUUUGUCAGGGAAGAAACAGCAGCUCUAACACAGUCUGCGAAUGACGGUACCUGAAGAAUAAGCACCGGCUAACUACGUG